GGAGUGGNUUGUACCAGAAGUAGAUAGCUUAACCUUCGGGAGGGCGUUUACCACGGUAUGAUUCAUGACUGGGGUGAAGUCGUAACAAGGUAACCGUAGGGGAACCUGCGGUUGGAUCACCUCCUUACCUAAAAUGGAACGACUGCAAGUGUNCACACAG
rnacentral:misc_RNA from 1 species